rnacentral:rRNA from 1 species
UACGUAGGGGCCGAGCGUUGUCCGGAGUUACUGGGCGUAAAGCGUCUGUAGGUGGCUUUUUAAGUCCGCCGUCAAAUCCCAGAGCUCAACUCUGGAACUGCCUUUGAUACUGUCGAUCUGGAGUAUGGAAGAGGUGAGUGGAAUUCCGAGUGUAGAGGUGAAAUUCGUAGAUAUUCGCAAGAACACCAGUGGCGAAGGCGGCUCACUGGCCCGGUACUGACGCUGAGGCGCGAAAGCCAGGGGAGCAAACGGG